GACGUAGGAGGCGAGCGUUAUCCGGAUUCACUGGGCGUAAAGCGCGUGUAGGCGGUUCGUCAAGUCGCUUGUGAAAGCCCCUGGCUCAACUGGGGGAGGUCAAGCGAAACUGAAGGACUCGAGGGUCAGAGAGGAAGGUGGAAUUCCCGGUGUAGCGGUGGAAUGCGUAGAGAUCGGGAGGAACACCAGUGGCGAAGGCGGCCUUCUGGCUGACCCCUGACGCUGAGACGCGAAAGCGUGGGUAGCAAACGGG
rnacentral:rRNA from 1 species